rnacentral:rRNA from 1 species
GACGAACGCUGGCGGCGUGCUUAACACAUGCAAGUCGAACGCUGAAGCUUGGUGCUUGCACUGGGUGGAUGAGUGGCGAACGGGUGAGUAAUACGUGAGUAACCUGCCCUUGACUCUGGGAUAAGCCUGGGAAACUGGGUCUAAUACUGGAUACGACAUGUCACCGCAUGGUGGUGUGUGGAAAGGGUUUUACUGGUUUUGGAUGGGCUCACGGCCUAUCAGCUUGUUGGUGGGGUAAUGGCUCACCAAGGCGACGACGGGUAGCCGGCCUGAGAGGGUGACCGGCCACACUGGGACUGAGACACGGCCCAGACUCCUACGGGAGGCAGCAGUGGGGAAUAUUGCACAAUGGGCGGAAGCCUGAUGCAGCGACGCCGCGUGAGGGAUGACGGCCUUCGGGUUGUAAACCUCUUUCAGCACGGAAGAAGCGAAAGUGACGAUACGUGCAGAAGAAGCGCCGGCUAACUACGUG